rnacentral:lncRNA from 1 species
CCACCCCCCCCAAAAUGAGGGUCACGUUUCCUUACACGACCGAAUGGGUUUUGCAGAUAUGCUCGGGGAAGGGAUGGCAGGAAAUUCUGCUGGGAGCAACAGUGUCUCCUUCCCAAGUCCGGAUUCCCAAAAUCUGCCCGCCUGCCUGCCCCCCCACUUCGGGGAGGCCAGUUCCUGGCAAGACCCCAGACCCCCGACUCUCCACCUGGAGACGCCCCUCCGAGGUGUCCUCAGCGCCGGGAGCCUGCACAGCUGCUUGGACAAGAGCAGGAGGGGAGCUGCCGCCCCCGGGGCAGCUGACGGGGUCAGAGUGUGACUGCGCUCCCUUCCAUGGCUUUUGUUCCCACCCCUGCACACCCGGAAGGAGACCUCAGGGGUUUGCAUCCUUCCAUCUGCAAAACCAGCUGCACUCAGCCCCAUAAGUGACCACAUUCCUCUUUGUGUCACUUUCUUGGUCAAAAGAGGAACACCGUCGUGGGUGAAAAGGGAAGAUAUGGAAAGAACUGGCCCCGUGGACGUGGAGGGUGGGCGAGCAGACCCAGCCCAGUCUGCGGCCUCGGGGUCCCGCCUCCUGCUCUUGGCUCCUGAGGCGCCCUCUCAAGUCGUGCAUUCCUAUUUGCUCCUUCUCGGAAGUCAGGGGUCAUCAAGGGCCACGUGCAGCCGCUCCUCCUGGAAGGUCGUCUGCGCUCCUCCUGGGGCCACAGCUAUCACUCGUUGUGCGUUCUGGGAUUUUAACUUGGUUUGGGUUUCCCCAAAAGCAGAUCCUGAAACCAGGAUUUGAAUGCAAGUAAUUUAUUUCGAUUCUGAUCCCAGGCGACUUAGGUAAGAGAGUGGGAAAGUGAGACAGGACGGGCAACCCCUAGUGUGCGCUAUCCAGCAAGCUUCCACCGUGGGCAAUGGAGGCUUAAUCCUGCAGGGACUCUGGGAGCCAGGGUAGCGCACAGGGCAAGGGACCCGGGGUGAGAGUGUUGAGAGCUGUUCCCAGGGGGCUUACCUUCCAGCACUUCCAGCACUUCCAGCCUUGCCGGGAGCUCAGGCGGCGCUGGCUCCUGAAGCCAGAGAGUCCUCCCGCAGUCUCACAGAGCUGGCAUAGCAAAUCCAACCGGGGUGCACAAAACCAGUAAGUGGCCAGGGGUUAUGGGUGGGCACCAACAGUGUCAUCUGCUUCAGUAGGGCUUUUUUUUUUUUUUUUAAACAAAGGACUUCACUGUUAAACAUUAAGUUUGAAAACCUCUGAUAUAUUAAUAAAACAAAACCCCAUUUCACAGAUGGGCUCGUAGAGUCUUAGAGAUGGCAAGGGAUGCCACAUACUUACUAGCAAGUUAAGACCAGGACUAGAACCCAAAAACCACCUGUCUAGUCUGAGUCCAAGCUUUUUAAUUUUACUCUUUAAGUUUGAAAUAAUUACAGAUUCACAGGAAGUUGCAAAGAAAUGCACAGAGAGGGAAACGGACUUGGCCCAGUGGUUAGGGCGUCUGUCUACCACAUGGGAGGUCCGCGGUUCAAACCCUGGGCCUCCUUGACCCGUGUGGAGCUGGCCCAUGCGCAGUGCUGAUGUGCGCAAGGAGUGCCCUGCCACGCAGGGGUGUCCCCCACGUAGGGGAGCCCCACACACAAGGAGUGCGCCCCGUAAGGAGAGCCACCCAGCGCGAAAGAAAGUGCAGCCUGCCCAGGAACGGCGCCACCCACAUUUACCGUGCCGCUGAGGACAACAGAAGCGGACAAAGAAACAAGAUGCAGCAAAUAGACACAGAGAACAGACAACCGGGGGAGAGAGGGAAUUAAAUAAAUAAAUAAAUCUUAAAAAUAAAAGAAAGAAAUGCACAGAGAAGGCCCAUGUACCUUUCCCCUCUCCCAGGGUUAACAGAUUGUACAACUAUCAUUACAAACCAGAAAAUCGACGUUGGUAAAAUCCACAGAGCCUGUUCAGGUUUCUUCAGGUGUGUUCAUUAACGUGUGUGUGUGUGAGUGUGUGUGUGAGGUGUCCAUGAAACAUUAUCCCAGAUGUAGCUUUGUGUAACCACCACCACAAUCAAGACACUUCACUCUACCAUCACCACAAAGCUCCUUUAAAAAAAAAAAUUUAUCCUCCCACCCCCAUUGUUUUGCGCUCACUGUCUGCUCUCUGCUUCCAUUCGCUGUGUGUUCUUCUGUGUCUGCUUGUCUUCUCUUUAGGCUGCACUAGGAACCGAUCCUGGGGCCUUCUGGAAUGGGAGAGAGGUGCUCAAUCUCUUGCACCACCUCAGCUCCCUGGUCUGCUGUAUCUCUUAUUGUCUCUCCUCUGUGUCUCUUUUGUUGCGUUAUCUGCUGCGCCUGCUCUCCGCAUGGGCCAGCACUCCGUGGAGGCCAGCACUCCACAUGGGCCAGCUCUCUGCUCAGGCCAGCUCGCCAUGCGGGCCAGCUUGCCUUCACAAGGAGGCCCUGGGAAUCGAACCCUGAACCUUCUAUAUGUGGACAGGAGCCCAACCUCUUGAGCCACAUCUACUUUCCCAAGGCUCCUUUUUUUGUGGACACCUCUACAGCUAUCCCACGUUCCCCAUUCCUAACAUCUGGCAACCCUUCUUCCCCACCUCUGUAACGGUAUGUUAUUUCAUGAGUAGUUGUAUCAGUCAGCCAGAAGUGGUGUUGAUGCAAAGUACUAAAAAUCUGUUGGCUUUUAUAAAGGGUAUUUAUUUGGGGUAAAAACCGACAGUUACAAAGCCCUAAAGGGUCCAACUCAAGGUGCCAUAAGGGAAGCGGACUUGGCCCAAUGGAUAGAGCAUCCACCUACCACAUGGGAGGUCUGCAGUUCAAACCCCAGGCCUCCUUGACCCGUAUGGAGCCGGCCCAUGCGCAGCACUGAUGUGCGCAAGGAGUGCCCUGCCACGCAGGGGUGUCCCCCGUGUAGGGGAGCCCCAUGUGCAAGGAGUGCACCCCAUAAGGAGAGCCGCCCAGCAUGAAAGAAAGUGCAGCCUGCCCAGGAAUGGCGCCACACACACGGAGAGCUGACACAAGAUGAUGCAACAAAAAGAAACAGAUUCCUGGUGCCACUGAUAAGGAUAAAAGCGGUCACAGAAGAACACACAGCGAAU